GACGAACGCUGGCGGCGUGCUUAACACAUGCAAGUCGAACGGAAAGGCCCUGCUUGCAGGGUACUCGAGUGGCGAACGGGUGAGUAACACGUGGGUGAUCUGCCCUGCACUUCGGGAUAAGCCUGGGAAACUGGGUCUAAUACCGGAUAGGAGCCAUUUUUAGUGUGAUGGUUGGAAAGUUUUUUCGGUGUAGGAUGAGCUCGCGGCCUAUCAGCUUGUUGGUGGGGUAAUGGCCUACCAAGGCGGCGACGGGUAGCCGGCCUGAGAGGGUGGACGGCCACAUUGGGACUGAGAUACGGCCCAGACUCCGACGGGAGGCAGCGGUGGGGAAUAUUGCACAAGGGGCGAAAGCCUGAUGCAGCGACGCCGCGUGGGGGAUGACGGCCUUCGGGUUGUAAACUCCUUUCGCUAGGGACGAAGCUUUUUGUGACGGUACCUAGAUAAGAAGCACCGGCUAACUACGUG
rnacentral:rRNA from 1 species